UACGAAGGGGGCCAGCGUUGCUCGGAAUUACUGGGCGUAAAGCGCACGUAGGCGGUCUUUUAAGUCGGGGGUGAAAUCCUGGAGCUCAACUCCAGAACUGCCUUCGAUACUGGAAGACUUGAGUCCGGGAGAGGUGAGUGGAACUGCGAGUGUAGAGGUGAAAUUCGUAGAUAUUCGCAAGAACACCAGUGGCGAAGGCGGCUCACUGGCCCGGUACUGACGCUGAGGUGCGAAAGCGUGGGGAGCAAACAGG
rnacentral:rRNA from 1 species